rnacentral:rRNA from 1 species
ACGAACGCUGGCGGCGUGCUUAACACAUGCAAGUCGAACGGAAAGGCCCUGCUUUUGUGGGGUGCUCGAGUGGCGAACGGGUGAGUAACACGUGAGUAACCUGCCCUUGACUUUGGGAUAACUUCAGGAAACGGGGGCUAAUACCGGAUAGGAGCUCCUGCUGCAUGGUGGGGGUUGGAAAGUUUCGGCGGUUGGGGAUGGACUCGCGGCUUAUCAGCUUGUUGGUGGGGUAGUGGCUUACCAAGGCUUUGACGGGUAGCCGGCCUGAGAGGGUGACCGGCCACAUUGGGACUGAGAUACGGCCCAGACUCCUACGGGAGGCAGCAGUGGGGAAUAUUGCACAAUGGGCGGAAGCCUGAUGCAGCAACGCCGCGUGCGGGAUGACGGCCUUCGGGUUGUAAACCGCUUUCGCCUGUGACGAAGCGUGAGUGACGGUAAUGGGUAAAGAAGCACCGGCUAACUACGUG